AUUGAACGCUGGCGGCAGGCCUAACACAUGCAAGUCGAACGAGCGGCGGACGGGUGAGUAAUGUCUGGGAAACUGCCUGCUGGAGGGGGAUAACUACUGGAAACGGUGGCUAAUACCGCAUACCAUCGGAUGUGCCCAUAUGGGAUUAGCUGGUAGGUAGGGUAACGGCUCACCAAGGCGACGAUCACUAGCUGGUCUGAGAGGAUGACCAGCCACAAUGGUACUGAGACACGUCCCAGACGCCUACGGGAGGCAGCAGUGGGGAAUAUUGCACAAUGGGCGCAAGCCUGAUGCAGCCGUGCCGCGUGUAUGAAGAAGGCCUUCGGGUUGUAAAGUACUUUCAGCCGGGAGGCGUUACCCGCAGAAGAAGCACCGGCUAACUCCGUGCCAGCAGCCGCGGUAAUUC
rnacentral:rRNA from 1 species